rnacentral:lncRNA from 1 species
GUUCGCAAUAACUUAUGCAUUGAUUGUUGUAGAAACAUCAAAACAAGUGUAAGUUAUUCUAAAAAGACCUGGCCUACUUUUACAACCUGUCACGACUUCCGCCGAGCUCGGUUCCUCUCCUUGUUCGGGCGGCGUUCGGCGGUCGACGUCACCGGUCUUCUAGCCAUCGCUGAUCCAUCUUUCAUUUUCUAUUGGUUUUGUCUUUAUUUUCUACACACCUGGUUUUCAUUAUCCAAUUCCAUGUUCAUGUCCAUGUUUGUUGUGCGUGAUUAUUUCUAUGUUCAGUUCGGUUCAUGAUGCCUGGUUUUUCCACGGGUGCUGUGUUCACCCGUGCGUAAUAUUUACCGUUGGUCUUUGGUCAAGUGUAUUUGUUUACCUUGUGCCUUUAUUUUUUGAGUAAAGUACGUUACUCACUCAUUCUGCUCUCCUGCGCCUGACUUCAUGCACCAGCUACACUCACCUUCUGACAGGACCUGCAUCAAAAGUCGUGUUGAUUGUCUAGUAAUAAUCAGGUUAUAUAAAAUUGUAAUUAAAUCUAUUAUCCUCAAUAGUUUUUUCAUGAAUUGUCAUAGAAACAUCAAACUAAAUCCAAAUUAGUCAAACCCUCAAUGGAUCUGACGCAAGACAUCACCGCCAUACAAGUUUCGGCUUUACCAAUUGUGUUACAGAAUUACCUGCGUUGGAAUUUAGCACACCAUCUCACAGUACUCUCUCAGAGACAAAAUAUGUAACUUGCCCUUCACACCUCUGGCCCUAACCAACCCGAUUGGUUGCUAGGGACCAGGUUGCCAAAUGCCUUAUCACACCGUCGGGUCAGCCAAUCACAGGCAGUAAUCUUGGGUUUCAGAUCCCCAAUUCCUGCGGCCCCUUCUCCGUCUUCUUCUAGCAGUUGCAGAGAGAGCGUCAAGCUCCUCUUCCUUGCCAAACACAACUGGACUCAUUCCCAUAUCUGUGGGAUGGUGUGCGUGUAUAAAGUGCUGUGUCUGUGCCUUCUUGCCCUGGUGUAUUCAUUUGGAACUUAUGAAGACAACACUGAGUGACUUGUUCCUGCCAAAAUAACUCCACAACCCUGAAGACCUCCACCUGGCUGCCACCACAACCCUGAAGACCUCCACCUGGCUGCCACCACAACCCUAAAGACCUCCACCUGGCUGCCACCACAACCCUGAAGACCUGGUUAGAGCGUUGGACUAGUAACCGAAAGGUUGCAAGAUUGAAUCCUGGAGCUGAGAAGGACCUUAGCCCUACGACCAUGCCUCAGGACUACCUGGCCUGAUGACUCCUUGCUGUCCCCAGUCCACCUGGCCGUGCUGCUGCUCCAGUUUCAACUGUUCUGCCUGCGGCUAUGGAACCCUGACCUGUUCACCGGACGUGCUACCUGUCCCAGACCUGCUGUUUUCAACACUCUAGAGACAGCAGGAGUGGUAGAGAUACUCUGAAUGAUCAGCUAUGAAAAGCCAACUGACAUUUACUCCUGAAGUGCUGACCUGUUGCACCCUCGACAACCACUGUGAUUAUUAUUAUUUGACCCUGCUGGUCAUCUAUGAACAUUUGAACAUCUUGGCCAUGUUCUGUUAUAAUCUCCACCCGGCACAGCCAGAAGAGGACUGGCCACCCCUCAUAGCCUGGUUCCUCUCUAGGUUUCUUCCUAGGUUCUGGCCUUUCUAGGGAGUUUUUCCUAGCCACCGUGCUUCUACACCUGCAUUGUUUGCUGUUUGGGGUUUUAGGCUGGGUUUUUGUACAGCACUUUGAGAUAUCAGCUGAUGUAAGAUGGGCUUUAUAAAUAAAUUUGAUUUGAUGUGAACCAUGCCUCGAACAAAAGAGAUCUCAGAAGACCUCAUC